UACGAAGGGGGCUAGCGUUGCUCGGAAUCACUGGGCGUAAAGCGCACGUAGGCGGAUUGCUAAGUCAGGGGUGAAAUCCUGGAGCUCAACUCCAGAACUGCCUUUGAUACUGGCGAUCUCGAGUCCGGGAGAGGUGAGUGGAACUGCGAGUGUAGAGGUGAAAUUCGUAGAUAUUCGCAAGAACACCAGUGGCGAAGGCGGCUCACUGGCCCGAUACUGACGCUGAGGCACGAAAGCGAUGGGGAGCAAACAGG
rnacentral:rRNA from 1 species